ACCUUCUGAAGUGUAGUUGGUAGCGCAUUUGCUUAGUAAUAAUAAGUCCUAAGUUCAAGUCUUAGUCGGGGUA